rnacentral:lncRNA from 1 species
UUUGUGCCUCAGACUUUUGACAGAAAGUGUCCCUGCUGAAAACUGAAACAGAAGGGGAGGAAAUGCCAGAUCCCUGCCAGGAGCCACAAAGAUUUAUCUCCUCUGGGUUAUUCAUGUGUGAUAGAGAGAGCACUCGAAUCCAUAAAGUGAGUGGGAACCCUUGGAAAGCAGUGCCAUCCUGUUUCCUGUUUAACUGCAGGAAGCUGUGCAUUAGGGAAGGAGGGUUCCAUUUCAACAGGGAUCAGAAAAUGCAAAUUGAGGUGCUGGCCUUGAAGGGUAGAUUUAUUGCCCUGGGAGGAAAUUACAAAAUAGGCAGAAUUUAAUUGAUGGAAGAACCUGUUAAAUUAAUCCUGCCUUAGAGGCAGGUGGAGUAUUGGAAACAGGUUUUGAAAAUCUAGCUUGUUGGCGAAUUCACAACUUGGGAGGUUUGUUUGUUUUUUUAGAGUCCACUAAAGGACAGGAUGAUAAUUAAACCUACAGAAGUGUCUGUUAUGGUUUGGAUAAGAGUGUCCUCCAAAAGUGUAGUGUAAAACAAUGCAAGAAAGUUUGGAAGAGAAAUAUUGGGUUAUUACCUUAAUCUAAUUAGCGAAUUAUCCUUGAUGGGAUUAACUAGGUGUUAACUGGAGGCAGGUGGGCGUGGUUGUAGGAAGUGGUUAAUUGGGGGCGUGGCUAGAGGGGAUAUAUUUUGUAUCUGGGGAGUGGAGUCUCUCUCUCAGCUUUCUGAUCUGCUUUCCCUCUGCUACACUCUUCCUCCAUGAUGUUCAGCCUCACCUAGAGCCCCAGGAACAGAGCCAGCCUUCUAUGGAUGAAGACCUCUGAAACCAACCGUGAGCCCUCAAAUAGACUUUUCUUCCCCUAAAAUUUGUCUGGUCUUUUCCUCACAGCAGCAAAAAAGCUGACUAAAACAGUGUCACUGCUACAAUGAUGUUAAAUGAUAAAAUGUACCUAAAAUGGCUGAGACAUUAUAGGAAUUCAAUUGUGAAUACAC